rnacentral:rRNA from 1 species
UAGGGAAUCUUCGGCAAUGGACGGAAGUCUGACCGAGCAACGCCGCGUGAGUGAAGAAGGUUUUCGGAUCGUAAAGCUCUGUUGUUAGAGAAGAACGUUGGUAGGAGUGGAAAAUCUACCAAGUGACGGUAACUAACCAGAAAGGGACGGCUAACUACGUGCCAGCAGCCGCGGUAAUACGUAGGUCCCGAGCGUUGUCCGGAUUUAUUGGGCGUAAAGCGAGCCCAGGCGGUUCUUUAAGUCUGAAGUUAAAGGCAGUGGCUUAACCAUUGUACGCUUUGGAAACUGGAGGACUUGAGUGCAGAAGGGGAGAGUGGAAUUCCAUGUGUAACGGUGAAAUGCGUAGAUAUAUGGAGGAACACCGGUGGCGAAAGCGGCUCUCUGGUCUGUAACUGACGCUGAGGCUCGAAAGCGUGGGGAGCAAACAGG